GGAGAUUUUCACCGGGCAAUCUUCACAUGGUCCACUAUAUAAAGUGAACUGAAAUACAAUGAUAAAACAAUGAGAAGUCAGCUUCAUAUUGAAGACGAAGAUUUUUCAUCAUCGCACUAAUGGUUUGAAGACCGUUUAGUCCUUUCUUGGCAGCUGAUUUUUUAAUACCUCGUCCUACUUUUACCUUUUUUUGUGCCGCAGGCAUCGCUGCUACAUUUGAAAUGUGGGUGAUGUUGCCUUGACCAUUUCCAAUCAUUCAACCUUGGCAAGUUGACAAAGUUUUAUUUUAUAUAAGUCUUUCUCACACUCCCUACAUCAUACAUAUUACAGCUAAACAGCAGGCUGCUGACUUGUGAAAAAAUUCCUUGUUGUAAGAGAAAAAAAAUUAGAUAAACAGUCAACUUACUUAAAAAGAAAAAAAAAGAGAACACUCUAUUAUAGUAUGGGGUGUAUAUGCUUAGAUUAUGCUGAUGUUUGGGUAUAAAUUAAUUAAAAACUCGGAAACUUA